UAGAGUUUGAUCAUGGCUCAGAUUGAACGCUGGCGGCAUGCUUUACACAUGCAAGUCGAGCGGCAGCGCGGGGGCGACCCUGGCGGCGAGCGGCGAACGGGUGAGUAACACAUCGGAACGUAUCCCGUAGAGGGGGAUAGCCCGGCGAAAGCCGGAUUAAUACCGCAUAUGCUCUACGGAGGAAAGUGGGGGACCUGCAAGGGCCUCACGCUAUGGGAGCGGCCGAUGGCCGAUUAGCUAGUUGGUGGGGUAAAGGCCUACCAAGGCGACGAUCGGUAGCUGGUCUGAGAGGAUGAUCAGCCACACUGGGACUGAGACACGGCCCAGACUCCUACGGGAGGCAGCAGUGAGGGAUAUUGCACAAUGGGCGCAAGCCUGAUGCAGCGACGCCGCGUGGAUGAAGAAGGCUUUCGGGUCGUAAAAUCCUUUUGCGCGUGACGAGAAACAGGACGGUAGCGCGCGAAUAAGUCUCGGCUAACUACGUGCCAGCAGCCGCGGUAAUCGCCC
rnacentral:rRNA from 1 species